GGACAAGCGAAUAAGUGCACAUGGUGGAUGCCUUGGCGAUUACAGGCGAUGAAGGACGUAGUAGCUUGCGAUAAGCUGCGGGGAGCUAGCAAACGAGCUUUGAUCCGCAGAUUUCCGAAUGGGGAAACCCGGCCUUUAUAGGUCAUUGCAUACUGAAUACAUAGGUAUGCAAAGCGAACGCGGCGAACUGAAACAUCUAAGUAGCUGCAGGAAAAGAAAUCAACCGAGAUUCCCAAAGUAGUGGCGAGCGAAAUGGGAUGAGCCUGUAUGUAAUAGUCGAUCGGAUAGUGGAAGCCUCUGGAAAUAGGCGCCAUAGAGGGUGAUAGCCCCUUACACGAAAUUCGAACGGUGGUACUAAGCAUACGACAAGUAGGGCGGGACACGAGAAAUCCUGUCUGAACAUGGGGGGACCAUCCUCCAAGGCUAAAUACUCGUAAUCGACCGAUAGUGAACCAGUACCGUGAGGGAAAGGCGAAAAGAACCCCGGGAGGGGAGUGAAAUAGAUCCUGAAACCGUGUGCAUACAAACAGUAGGAGCGGACUUGUUCCGUGACUGCGUACCUUUUGUAUAAUGGGUCAGCGACUUACAUUCAGUGGCGAGGUUAACCGUAUAGGGGAGCCGUAGAGAAAUCGAGUCCGAAUAGGGCGACAGUCGCUGGGUGUAGACCCGAAACCAAGUGAUCUACCCAUGGCCAGGAUGAAGGUGCGGUAACACGCCCUGGAGGUCCGAACCCACUAAUGUUGAAAAAUUAGGGGAUGAGCUGUGGGUAGGGGUGAAAGGCUAAACAAACUUGGAAAUAGCUGGUUCUCUCCGAAAACUAUUUAGGUAGUGCCUCAAGUAUCACCAUCGGGGGUAGAGCACUGUUAUGGCUAGGGGGUCAUUGCGACUUACCAAACCAUUGCAAACUCCGAAUACCGAUGAGUGCGAGCUUGGGAGACAGACAUCGGGUGCUAACGUCCGGUGUCAAGAGGGAAACAACCCAGACCGCCAGCUAAGGUCCCAAAGAUUGGCUAAGUGGAAAACGAAGUGGGAAGGCUAAAACAGUCAGGAUGUUGGCUUAGAAGCAGCCAUCAUUUAAAGAAAGCGUAAUAGCUCACUGAUCGAGUCGUCCUGCGCGGAAGAUGUAACGGGGCUAAGCCAGUCACCGAAGCUGCGGAUAU
rnacentral:rRNA from 1 species